rnacentral:rRNA from 1 species
GAUGAACGCUGGCGGCAGGCCUAACACAUGCAAGUCGAACGAGUGGCGGACGGGUGAGUAAUGUCUGGGAAACUGCCUGAUGGAGGGGGAUAACUACUGGAAACGGUAGCUAAUACCGCAUACCAUCGGAUGUGCCCAGAUGGGAUUAGAUAGUAGGUGGGGUAACGGCUCACCUAGGCGACGAUCCCUAGCUGGUCGUAGAGGAUGACCAGCCACACGUGAACUGAGACACGUUCCAGACUCCUACAGGAGGCAGCAGUUGGAAUAUUUCACAAUGGGCGCAAUCCUGAUGCAGCCAUGCCGCGUGUAUUAAUAAGGCCUUCGGGUUGUAAAGUACUUUCAGCGGGGAGGCGUUACCCGCAGAAGAAGCACCGGCUAACUCCGUGCCAGCAGCCGCGGUAAUAC